GCGGCGGUGGUGCGGGAGAGAAGGACCUUGCCGCCUGACGGGCGGUGGGCGGGCGGCGGGCGGUCCGGUGGUUCUGAUCCGUUCCUCUCCUC
rnacentral:tRNA from 1 species